rnacentral:rRNA from 1 species
AUGGAGAACUCAUCAAGCCAAGAGUACACCAAUCCCCUUCAAAGUCGCCGCUGCACCCCCACCUCGCCCGGCCUCUCCUACGGCCCUGGCCUCCCGCUCUUCACUCAUCUGCCCGGCGGCGGGAAGUUACAGGCGUUGGAGUCCCUUCUGGUCACUGGUGAUUUAGACUUUGUCAUCGGGACAUGUGAAGCAAAGUUUGUUAGAGAAGCAAUUUCUUCGAUGAUGCUGGAGACUCGGCUAAUGCAGUUUCGUGCUGGUUGCAUAUGGGAUGGGUUUUCUCUUCAAUGGUGGGUGCUGAACAGUUCUUCAUUAAGACUAGGACUAUACACACCAGCCUAUGGAGGCUUCUUUGAAUCUGAUCUUCAAAAGGAAAAGAAGAUAUCUCUGAGAACUCUGAUUGAUCCAUCAGCGGUGGAGAGCUUCGGCGGUGGCAGCAGGGUCUGCAUCAUGGCCAUAGUUUAUCCCGUAGAGGUUGUCGACAACGGGGCCCACAUGUAUGCCUUCAACAACGGCAAUACCACGAUCAGAGCACAUAAAUAG